rnacentral:antisense_RNA from 1 species
CUUCACCGUGCCGAGCCAGAGCGGCCGGUCGGCGGGACGCUCCUGGCCGUAGGUGGCGAGGAGCGCCUGGGCCUC